rnacentral:rRNA from 1 species
UAGAGUUUGAUCAUGGCUCAGAGUGAACGCUGGCGGUAGGCCUAACACAUGCAAGUCGAACGGCAGCACAGUAAGAGCUUGCUCUUAUGGGUGGCGAGUGGCGGACGGGUGAGGAAUACAUCGGAAUCUACCUUUUCGUGGGGGAUAACGUAGGGAAACUUACGCUAAUACCGCAUACGACCUUCGGGUGAAAGCAGGGGACCUUCGGGCCUUGCGCGGAUAGAUGAGCCGAUGUCGGAUUAGCUAGUUGGCGGGGUAAAGGCCCACCAAGGCGACGAUCCGUAGCUGGUCUGAGAGGAUGAUCAGCCACACUGGAACUGAGACACGGUCCAGACUCCUACGGGAGGCAGCAGUGGGGAAUAUUGGACAAUGGGCGCAAGCCUGAUCCAGCCAUACCGCGUGGGUGAAGAAGGCCUUCGGGUUGUAAAGCCCUUUUGUUGGGAAAGAAAAGCAGUCGAUUAAUACUCGGUUGUUCUGACGGUACCCAAAGAAUAAGCACCGGCUAACUUCGUGCCAGCAGCCGCGGUAAU